AAUUACCCAAUCCUGACACAGGGAGGUAGUGUCAAGAAAUAACAAUACAGGGCUUAAAGUCUUGUAAUUGGAAUGAUGGGAAUCUAAACCCUUCCCAGAGUAUCAAUUGGAGGGCAAGUCUGGUGCCAGCAGCCGCGGUAAUUCCAGCUCCAAUAGCGUAUAUUAAAGUUGUUGCAGUUAAGAAGCUCGUAGUUGAAUUUCUGCCUUGCCAUUAAUCUCGCUUCCGAGCGUUUUUUUAUUGACUUGGCAUCUUCUGGAUUUGGUGCCUUCGGGUACUAUUUUCCAGGAUUUACUUUGAGAAAACUAGAGUGUUUCAAACAGGCAUUCGCCUUGAAUACUACAGCAUGGAAUAAUGAAGUAGGACUUUGGUUCUAUUUUGUUGGUUAUUGAGCCAGAGUAAUGGUUAAUAGGAGCAGUUGGGGGCAUUCGUAUUUAA
rnacentral:rRNA from 1 species